rnacentral:rRNA from 1 species
GUUGAGGUAUAUGAUCUUAUUUUUGAGUUGAAGAUUAUAAGAUUAACUUUGCCAGAUGGUGUAAUGUCUGAUAUGGAGAUUUUCGAGCAUGUCCAAGAAGUUGUAUGUUAUCCUAAUAUCUCCAUUGCCUACCCCAUCUUAUUUACUAUGCACGUGACUGGCUUACAAAGUUGA